rnacentral:rRNA from 1 species
UACCAGCACCCCGAGUGGUCGGGACGAUUAUUGGGCCUAAAGCAUCCGUAGCCGGUUCUGCAAGUCUUCCGUUAAAUCCACCUGCUCAACAGAUGGGCUGCGGAGGAUACUACAGGGCUAGGAGGCGGGAGAGGCAAGCGGUACUCAGUGGGUAGGGGUAAAAUCCUCUGAUCCACUGAAGAACACCAAGGGCGAAGGCACUCUGCUGGG